AGUGAACGCUGGCGGCGUGCUUAACACACGCAAGUCGAACGAGAACGGGUUAUAGCUUGCUAUAAUUGUCAGCUAAGUGGCGCACGGGUGAGUAAUGUAUAGGUAAUAUGCCUCUUACUAAGGGAUAACAAAUGGAAACGUUUGCUAAUACCUUAUACUCCUUAUUAACAUAAGUUAAUAAGGGAAAGAUUUAUUGGUAAGAGAUUAGCCUGUAUUGUAUCAGUUAGUUGGUGGGGUAGUGGCUUACCAAGACUAUGACACAUAACUGGUUUGAGAGGAUUAUCAGUCACAAUGGGACUGAGACACGGUCCAGACUCCUACGGGAGGCAGCAGUGGGGAGUAUUGCACAAUGGACGAAAGUCUGAUGCAGCAACGCCGCGUGGAGGAUGACACAUUUCGGUGCGUAAACUCCUUUUAUAUGAGAAGAUAAUGACGGUAUUAUAUGAAUAAGCACCGGCUAACUCCGUGCCAGCAGCCGCCGUAAAAC
rnacentral:rRNA from 1 species